UACGUAGGGUCCGAGCGUUGUCCGGAGUUACUGGGCGUAAAGCGCGCGCAGGCGGCGGGGCUGGCCCGGCGUGAAAGCCCCCGGCUCAACCGGGGAGAGUCGUCGGGGACCGCACCGCUUGAGGGCGGUAGGGGCUGGUGGAAUGCCUGGUGUAGUGGUGAAAUGCGUAGAGAUCCGGAGGAAUACCAGAGGCGAAGGCGGCUCCCUGGUCCAAGACUGACACUGAGACGCGAAAGCAUGGGGAGCGAACGGG
rnacentral:rRNA from 1 species